UUCUGUCGGCAGGUCACUCGCUGAUAUGAAUUCUUCCACUUCAACUGGUUCAGUAUUCUUCAUUGCUUCUGGGUCUGGCUCUUGUGCUCGUGGAAUAUCAACUGUCGCCUUGGUUGCUAUUACAUGCUCUUCAGGAGCUGCCUCGUCUGCAGGAGCAACAUUGCUUGUCACAUCCUCAGUGAGCUCGCUGAUGUUUGCAUCAGGGCUCUCAUUGAUUGCUUCAGUUUCCUUCACCUCUUCUGCUUGCAUGUCACUUGCUGAUCUAUUCUCUUCCACCUCAACAGGUUCAGUAUUUUUUAUCUCUUCUAGUUCCGGCUCCUGUGCUUGUGGCAUGUCAACUGUUCUCUCAGCUACUGUUACCUGCUCUGCAUGAGGUUCCUCGUCUGCAAGUGCAACAUUGCUUUUCACAUCCUCAUUGAGCUCGCGGAUGUUUGCAUCAGUCCUUUCGCUGAUUGCUUCAGUUUCCUUGGGUUCAGUGUCCUUCACCUCUUCUGCCGGCAUGUCACUAGCUGAUGCAUUUUCUUCCACCUCAACAGGUUCAACAUUCUUGAUCUCUUCUAGUUCUGGCUCUUGUGCUCGUGGAAUAUCAACUGUUGCCUCAGUUGCUGUUACAUGCUCUUCAGGAGCUGCCUCGUCUGCAGGAGUAACAUUGCUUGUCACAUCCCCGGUGAGCUCGCUGAUGUUUGCAUCAGUGCUCUCGUUAAUUGCUUCAGUUUCCUUGGCUUCAAUUUCCUUCACCUCUUCCGCUGGCAGGUCACCUGCUGAUCUGUUUUCUUCCACCUCGUCAGGUUCGACAUUCUCGAGCUCUUGUAGUUCUGACACUUGUGCUUGUGGUAUAUCAACUGCUGCCUCAGCUGCUACUACAUGCUCUUCUGGAGCUGCCUCAUCUGCACGAGUAACAUUACUUUUCACAUCCUCAGUGAGUUCACUGAUGUUUGCAUCAGUGCUUUCGGUUAUUGCUUCUGUUUCUUUGGCUUCAGCGUCCUUCACCUCUUCUGCCGGCAGGUCACUUGCUGAUAUGUUUUCUUCCACUUCAACAGGUUCAGUAUUCUUGAUUUCUUCUAGUUCUGGAUCUUGUGCUUGUGGUAUGUCAACUGUUGCCUCAGUUGCUAUCACAUGCUCUUCAGGAUCUGCCUCGUCAACAUUAGUUUUGACAUCCUCAGUGAGCUCACUGAUGUUCUCAUCAGUGCUCUCAUUGAUUGCUUCAGAGUUCUUCACCUCUUCUGUCUGCAUGUCACUUGCUGACAUGUUUUCUUCCACCUCAACAGGUUCAGUAUUCUUGAUCUCUUCUAGUUCCAGCUCCUGUGCUUGUGGUAUGUUAACUGUUGCCUCAGUUGCUAUUACAUGUUCUUCAGGAGCUGCCUCGUCUGCAAGCGCAACAUUAGUUUUGACAUCCUCACUGAGCUCACUGAUGUUCGCAUCAGUGCUCUCGUUGAUUGCUUCAGUGUCCUUCACCUCUUCUGCCUGCAUGUCACUUGCUGACAUCUUUUCUUCCACUUCAACAGGUUCAGUAUUCUUUAUCUCUUCUACUUCUGGCUCUUGUACUUGUGGCAUAUCAACUGUAUCAUCAGCUACUGUUAUAUGUUCUUCAGGAGCUGCCUCAUCUGCAAGAGCAACAUUGUUUUUCACAUCUUCAGUGAGCUCAGUGUUGUUUGCAUCAGUGUUCUCAUUGAUUGCUUCAGUCUCUAUGGCUUCAGUAUCCUUCACCUCUUCUGCUGGCAGAUAAUUUGCUGAUAUGUUUUCUUCCACUUCAGCAGGCUCAGUACUCUUGGUCUCUUCUAGUUCUGGCCCUUGUGCUUCUGGUAUGUCAACUGUUGCCUCAGUUGCUAUUACAUGCUCUUCAGGAGCUGCCUCGUCUGCAGGAACAACAUUGCUUGUCACAUCCUCAGGUAGCUCACUGGUGUUUGCAACAGUUCUCUCGUUGAUUGCUUCAGUUUCCUUCACCUCUUCUGCUUGCAGGUCACUUGCUGAUCUAUUUUCUUCCACCUCAACAGGUUCAGUAUUCUCGAUCUCUUCUAGUUCCGGCUCCUGUGCUUGUGGUAUGUCAACUGUUCUCUCAGUUACUGUUACCUGCUCUGCAUGAGGUUCCUCGUCUGCAAGUGCAACAUUGCUUUUCACAUCCUCAUUGAGCUCGCUGAUGUUUGCAUCAGUCCUUUCGCUGAUUGCUUCAGUUUCCUUGGGUUCAAUUUCCUUGACCUCUUCUGCUGACAGGUCACCUGCUUCAGUAUUCUUGAUCUUUUCUAGCUCCGGCUCUUGUGCUUGUGGUAUAUCGGCUGUUGUCUCGGCUACUGUUACAUGUUCUUCAUGAGCUGCCUCAUCUAUAAGAGCAACGUUGCUUUUCAUAUCUUCAGUAAGCUCACUGAUGUUUGCAUCACUGCUCUCGUUGAUUGCAUCAGUUUCCUUGGCUUCAGUGUCCUUCACCUCUUCUGCCAGCAUGUCAUUAGCUGAUGCGUUUUCUUCCACCUCAACAGGUUCAACAUUCUCAAUCUCUUCUAGGUCUGGCUCUUGUGCUCGUGGAAUAUCAACUGUUGCCUCAGUUGCUGUUACAUGCUCUUCAGGAGCUGCCUCGUCUGCAGGAGUAACAUUGCUUGUCACAUUCCCGGUGAGCUCGCUGAUGUUUGCAUCAGUGCUCUCGUUAAUUGCUUCAGUUUCCUUGGCUUCAAUUUCCUUCACCUCUUCUGCUGGCAGGUCACCUGUUGAUCUGUUUUCUUCUACCUCGUCAGGUUCAACAUUCUCGAGCUCUUGUAGUUCUGACACUUGUGCUUGUGGUAUAUCAACUGCUGCCUCAGCUGCUGUUACAUGCUCUUCUGGAGCUGCCUCAUCUGCACGAGUAACAGUACUUUUCACAUCCUCAGUGAGUUCACUGAUGUUUGCAUCAGUGCUCUCAGUUAUUGCUUCUGUUUCUUUGGCUUCAGCGUCCUUCACCUCUUCUGCCGGCAG
rnacentral:lncRNA from 1 species